rnacentral:lncRNA from 1 species
AUGCCCUUUUCAGCUCCUGCCCGCUACCAGAGCGAUCAGGUCAGAUCGGGUGCUGCACGCGAGUCGUGGGAGCCACAGUUUCCCGCAGGCGCUGCUGCCUGCCCUCGGGCAGCAGGACGCCGAGCAGAGAGCCCAUCCGGGCAGCUGGGUGGGAGCAGACCCCCGCGGGCUAAUAACGCGCUGCCAUGCUCAGCACGCAGCUCUGGGCAGGCCACUCGCACGGCGUCCUCGCAGAGCUGCCGAGCUGGAGGCGCAGGCGGGAUGUCUUGUGCUGGUCACACAGACGAUGCUGGUUUUAAUGUUUUCUCCUCUUCUGUAAUAGACUUUGAUUUGGCCGAUUACUUUGACACCCCCUUGGAGACGACAACCAAACCAGCCAAGCCAACUGCUAAGCCCUUCCCUAAGAAGCCAGACAACAGCUUGUGGGAUGUCGUCCGCACCACCACAACCAAGAAACCAAAAACUACGAGGAGCCCCCCUCGACAUAACCCAGCAAAGGAUCCUAUGGAUUUCGACUUGGCCGAUGCCAUUGACAAGAACGACGGGAAAGGCGGGGACAGGCCGAACGUAAGGCCGGGCGAAGGUAUGUCAGCCUGCCCCUCGCCCCUUUCUUCCCUGCUUUCGACCAAAGUUUGAUGCCGGCUGGUCUUUCNNNNNNNNNNNNNNNNNNNNNNNNNNNNNNNNNNNNNNNNNNNNNNNNNNNNNNNNNNNNNNNNNNNNNNNNNNGCCAGCCCCUUACAGCAAAGCAACAAACCACUACAAAACGACGGGGCGAGAAGAAACGAAGGCGAUGCCGUGCCCAAGAGAGCUCCUGCUUGCCGCCGGCAGCUCCUCGCCCACCCCUGCCCCGCUGUCCCCACGGCCGGCCUGCCCCGAUCCACGGCCCAGAUCAGCCUUGGAGCCCUGCCGCUGCCCCCUCCCUGCACGCACCGGGCAUUUCCGCACUUUUGCAUGGAAAUUUCUCAGAAUUUCCACCUUUCUGCGCAUUCCCGCUUCCCGGGCCAGGCUCGGGAGAAGCCUCUCCGCCAGAGAAGGGAGGCAACGCGCUGGGGCAAGGGCUUUGCCCAACGGCCUGCUGCGGGUUUCUUUCUCAGGGUCUCUUCUGUCCCAUUAAACCAUGGCAACUCUGCUAAGUCCCCCCUUCCCUGGUAGCUAUUAAACGGAGAGCAUACACUACUGGGCUUCGCAGUCAUUGCCAAGACAUAAAUCUAGGGCAGUCUUAAGUCCUGGCAUAACGUAUGCUACGGGCUGAACCUGACUGGGCUGGGAAGUUUUUUUCCAUCCUUAAAGUACUCGAGUGAAUGAAUCAUUUGUUACAGUGAUCGUUCCCUUGAGUACUGGAGCUAGCAAACAGACUUUGCACAGCGAGUUUAUUGAUGUUGAGAUGGCCGUAUACCCUGCUCACGUGUAAUUAAUAGUCUGAUAUUUUAUUAGAUUGUCCUAAUUAAGUGACUUGUCUGCACUUUGAUAUUUUGGGCUUGUUGACGUUUUGGACUUCUGCAGGAAAGUUUUAAGCGUUGAAUUGUUGGAAGGUGGCGCCAAUCUCAAACGUCUCAAACGUUGCAGUAAACGUACGGCGGUUUCCCCAGCGUCACCACACCUUGCAUUUUUUGGACCUCUACAGGUCCCGGGGUGU